rnacentral:rRNA from 1 species
UGGGGAAUAUUGGACAAUGGGCGCAAGCCUGAUCCAGCAAUACCGCGUGUGUGAAGAAGGCCCGAGGGUUGUAAAGCACUUUCAGCGGGGAGGAAAAAGGCGGGCCCAACACGCCCGCCCUUGACAUUACCCGCACAAGAAGCACCGGCCAAUUCCGUGCCAGCAGCCGCGGUAAGACGGAAGGUGCAAGCGUUGCUCGGAAUCACUGGGCGUAAAGGGUGCGUAGGCGGCUUGGUAAGUCGGGUGUGAAAGCCCCGGGCUCAGCCUGGGAAGGGCACUCGAAACUGUCGAGCUGGAGUGCCGGAGGGGAGAGUGGAAUUCCUGGUGUAGCGGUGAAAUGCGUAGAUAUCAGGAGGAAUACCGGUGGCGAAAGCGACUCUCUGGACGGCAACUGACGCUGAGGCACGAAAGCGUGGGGAGCAAACAGGAUUAGAUACCCAGUAGUCCCUGAG